GGCGUCUAAUACCGGAUACGACGCGGGAGGGCAUCCUCUCCGCGUGGAAAGAACUUCGGUUCGGGAUGAGCUCGCGGCCUAUCAGCUUGUUGGUGAGGUAACGGCUCACCAAGGCGACGACGGGUAGCCGGCCUGAGAGGGUGACCGGCCAAACUGGGACUGAGACACGUCCACACUAAUACGGGAGGCAGCAGUGGGGAAUAUUGCACAAUGGGCGCAAGCCUGAUGCAGCAACGCCGCGUGAGGGACGACGGCCUUCGGGUUGUAAACCUCUUUUAGUAGGGAAGAAGCGAAAGUGACGGUACCUGCAGAAAAAGCACCGGCUAACUACGUGCCAGCAGCCGCGGUAAUACGUAGGGUGCAAGCGUUGUCCGGAAUUAUUGGGCGUAAAGAGCUCGUAGGCGGUCUGUCGCGUCUGCUGUGAAAACCCGAGGCUCAACCUCGGGCCUGCAGUGGGUACGGGCAGACUAGAGUGCGGUAGGGGAGAAUGGAAUUCCUGGUGUAGCGGUGGAAUGCGCAGAUAUCAGGAGGAACACCGAUGGC
rnacentral:rRNA from 1 species